rnacentral:lncRNA from 1 species
CACAACGGCAGCACAUUAUUGUAAAACUUCUGCGUUUCUUUCUGCCUCCAAAGCAAAGCAAAGGACUCAAGGAGAGCAUUGGAAGGAAGAGCCCAAACCCUGGCACUUCAAUUGCUGGUAGAACAUAGGAGCAUCAGGGGCAUUUGGCUGUGAGGAGGAUGUUUCCAGCAAACAAGAAGAAGCCUCUGCUUGGAGAAGACGCAGGAGAUGGAGAGAUGAGUUCAUAAUACUACACACCAAGAAUCUGGAAAAUGGUCAAAAAUAUAAGUUCUAGUUCUUUCCAUAAAUAAAUGAUCAAUAGAAGAAAGAGGGGUGACAGGUAACAGGGGAGCUGUCACAGACAAAAGCUGAUGUUCCUUUAGGUCUGAAAGAGUAUUGUCAGCACAGAGUGGUUGCAGCAGUGACGUGUGGAGGGAGAAGAGGCACAUAAAUCAGCCUUUCCUUGUCUUUGAUUUUACUUCCUUCAUAGUCGUCCAAGGUCUAUAAACGCUAGGUGGAAAC